CUUGUCUCCCAAACUCAUACCUUCUGUACGAAAACACCUGUUUUUGAAGUCUUUCUUACGCGCAUCCGUCUCUUCUUCCGUUUCUACCGCAACGGGUCGAUUUCUCGCAUCUCAGCUAGCUCGGGACUGUAGAUUUUGCCGAAGAAGCACCCGGUUUGGUGCCAUAAUUGGGAGGAUCGAUAGAUCCUUGCUGGGUUGUGCCUUCGAUCGUUAAAAUCUUGGUACUUGUCAUCCAUGAUGAGAAUUACACCGAACUUGUUGAUCUUUUGUCAGGGUUGUGCUGGAGCAAAGAGCAAUCAACAAAUAAAACUUGCAGCACGGAAGGAAUGUAAUAAGUUUGAAGAGUUGUCCAUUCUUAAAACAUGACACAUAUGUUUUCACUUAAUUUUUAUAUAGUUUUAGCCAUUUGUGCAAUUCCCAUUGAGUAAAGUUUGACAGCAUGCACUGUGGUUAUUAAAAGCUCACUAGUAUAAUCCAGAAGCUUGGUUUCCUAGCUAACUUUAAGGUAUCUAGUCAUAUAAUCUAGGUUCUUGGUGCUUCCUAUCCUCAUGUCUCUUCCCUAAAUUAUUUCUUUAACUUCUCUACUUUUUUCUGUCUAAUUUGUAUUUCAAUGAAUAGGAUUUUAAGAUCCAGAAUAUUCUUAGUUCAUGUGAGGGCCCUGCCUCUUCUCAUGGUGUUUUCUGCGGUGCAAGUUUAUCAAUCUUCUAUGUGCUUGAGAACAAUUUACUUAUGUAUCUAUCUCCACAUGAUGUCUUGUUUUUCCAUUAUUCCAUUUUAAUUCUUAAGCAAAUUGUUUAGUGGUUAAUAUUCUAUUAUACUAUUUCCAUUUUGAGCCUAGAGAACCACAUUGGCUUAUCAGUGACUCUAUGCUCAUGCUCAAUUUCUUAUGUUAGUCACAGAGAUUAUAUUUCAUUCGAGUAACUUUGUUAUAUAUGCUUCAAUCUAAUGAAGCAUCAAAGUUCUGGAAGUUUUUCUUGCUGAAAUUAUACAUACCCAUCUGGAACCUAAAAACAGCUGCUUUUGUGCACAAACCAGCGAUUUUUCCUGGUUUGAUAUUGCGUAUGAAAAAAAUCAAAGAUGGUACUUUUCAUUUUUGCUUAUGGAAAAAUUGUUCUCACUGGGGCUAAGGUAAUGUUCUUAAAGCAAUUUCAAAUACAUGAGUCAUGCAUAUCUCUCUUUUAUUCAUCAUCUUCAAUCCAAUUCAGGUUCAAGAUGAGGCACAUGCUGCAUUUGAGAAUUUACCAGUCCAUGCAGAAAUCAGAAAGAACCAGCAAUGGUAUGGUAGAUUGUUGCAUUGGAAAGGUUCCAUUUAGUUUCUAUAUGCUCAAUCAAAAAGCAAAGGGAAAAGACUUGUGAUUUGAUGCAACCUUGCCUUGUGACAAUUUGUUGUUUUAAUACAUUGGAAUGCACUGGGAAACUUCUCACUUGAAACUUUCCUAGCAGAUGAUUCAUAGCUGCUGCCUGGAAUGGAAUUUUCAACUACAACAUAUGUAAAUAUUAAAUGGCACAUCAUCCUUUAUAGGUUGUAUAUGACCUACAGUUUUCUUGCUUUUGAUCUACUGCUUGUGCAGCACUUAGAAUGAAGUAAAUUAGCCUUAAAAUGUCUCUAA